UCACUUUGGCAGUACAUAUACUAAAACAGGGCUGAUACAGAGAAGAUAAGCAGAAUCCCUGUGUCAAGAUGACACACCAGUUCCAGAAAUCUUCCAUAUCUGU
ensembl:snRNA U6 U6 spliceosomal RNA